rnacentral:rRNA from 1 species
UACGGAGGGGGCAAGCGUUAUCCGGAUUCACUGGGUUUAAAGGGUGCGUAGGCGGGCAGGUAAGUCAGUGGUGAAAUCCUCGAGCUUAACUCGGGAACUGCCAUUGAUACUAUCUGUCUUGAAUAUUGUGGAGGUGAGCGGAAUAUGUCAUGUAGCGGUGAAAUGCUUAGAUAUGACAUAGAACACCCAUUGCGAAGGCAGCUCCCUACGCAUAUAUUGACGCUGAUGCACGAAAGCGUGGGGAUCAAACAGG